rnacentral:rRNA from 1 species
CGGAGAGGGCGCAUGAGAAACGGCUACCACUUCUAAGGAAGGCAGCAGGCGCGCAAAUUACCCAAUCCUGACUCAGGGAGGUAGUGACAAGAAAUAACAAUAAACCGGCUUAUGCCGGUUUAAUUGGAAUGAGUACAAUUUAAACAUCUUAACGAGGAACAAUUGGAGGGCAAGUCUGGUGCCAGCAGCCGCGGUAAUUCCAGCUCCAAUAGCGUAUACUAAAGUUGUUGCAGUUAAAAAGUUCGUAGUUGGAUUUCUGCGGGGACGGAGCGGCCGGACGCAACUUGCGUCUCGAGCUAGCGCUUUCCCCGCAUCCUGCCGCGAACCGUGCUACCAUUAGUUUGGUGGCGCUGGGGAUCGGCUCGAUUACUUUGAGAAAAAUAGAGUGUUCAAAGCAGGCCACACGCCUUGAAUAAGUUAGCAUGGAAUAAUGACUAAGGACUUUGGUUCUUUUCGUUGGUGUUCGGGACUGAAGUAAUGAUUGAUAGGGACAGUUGGGGCGGUCCGUAUUCCAAAGCGAGAGGUGAAAUUCUUAGACCUUCGGAAGACGAACAGCUGCGAAAGCGUUCCGCAAGGAUGUUCCCUUUGAUCAAGAACGAAAGUUGGGGGAUCGAAGACGAUCAGAUACCGUCGUAGUCUCAACUAUAAACUAUACCAGCUAGGGAUCGGCCAACGUUUAAUUAUUCGACUUGGUCGGCACCUUAUGAGAAAUCAAAGCAUCUGGGUUCCGGGGGGAGUAUGGUCGCAAGGCUGAAACUUAAAGGAAUUGACGGAAGGGCACCACCAGGCGUGGAGCCUGUGGCUUAAUUUGACUCAACACGGGAAAACUUACCAGGUCCAGACAUAGGAAGGAUUGACAGAUUGAUAGCUCUUUCUUGAUUCUGUGGGUGGUGGUGCAUGGCCGUUUUUAGUCGGUGAAGUGAUUUGUCUGCUUAAUUGCGUUAACGGACGAGACCCCAGCCUGCUAAAUAGCGCGGCCGAGCUUUGCUCGGUACGAGCUUCUUAGAGGGACCAUGAUGCGCGAUAGCACAAGGAAGUUUGGGGCAACAACAGGUCUGUGAUGCCCUUAGAUGUUCUGGGCCGCACACGGGCUACACUGGCGCCUGCAACGAGCAUAUCAGCUGGCCCGAGAGGGUCUUGGCUAAUCUUUGGAACCGGCGCCGUGCUUGGGGUUGACCAUUGCAAUUGUUGGUCAUGCAACGAGGAAUGCCUUGUAAACGCGAGUCAUCAGCUCGCAUUGAAUACGUCCCUGCCCUUUGUACACACCGCCCGUCGCUCCUACCGAUGAAUGUUCCGAUGAAAUUUUCGGAGAGCGCCGGAGAACGGGGCUCUGCCCUGCAGAACUGGAGGCUCAAAGUCACUUAAAUCUGAACAUUUCGAGGAAGGAGAAGUCGUAACAAGGUAACC